rnacentral:rRNA from 1 species
CCUACGGGAGGCUGCAGUGAGGAAUAUUGGUCAAUGGGCUUACGCCUGAACCAGCCAAGUCGCGUGAGGGAAGACUGCCCUAUGGGUUGUAAACCUCUUUUGUCAGGGAGCAACGCCCGCUACGUGUACCCCUUCUGAUGGUCCCUGAGAAAAAGGCUUCGCCUAACCCCUUGCCAGCAGCGGCGUUAAUCCGGAGGAUCCGAGCUUAAUCCGGAUUUUUUGGGUUUAAAGGUUUCGUGGGCGGAAUGCCAAGUCAGCGGUAAAAUCGAGGGGCUCAACCUCGCUCCGCCGUUGAAACUGGCGGUCUGGAGUGGGCGAGAAGUAUGCGGAAUGCGUGGUGUAGCGGUGAAAUGCAUAGAUAUCACGCAGAACUCCGAUUGCGAAGGCAGCAUACCGGCGCCCAACUGACGCUGAAGCACGAAAGCGUGGGUAUCGAACAGGAUUAGAUACCCGAGUAGUC